CAUCAUAACUAGACUUUACAGAUGUGGCAUCCACUCUUUCCCCAUAAACCCUGUGCUAUCUGUGCUCAGAGCUCUCACUGCUCCCUCAGUCCCCCAUACCCUUCCAGUACCUUGGUGUCAUUGUACACUUUGCUUCCUCCACUCUGAGGUGCUUCUUUCUUAUCAUCAUCCAACACUUCCCUACCUACCCAUUAAAGUCCAGUUCAAAUCUCAAAGGCACCUAAUCUCAGAAAACAUGGUCACCAAAUAUGAACUCUUCUCUGUCCAGGCCCAUGAGUUCUGGACAACAGGACUCAGUUACUAAGUGAUGACACCACGAGUUUUGGGCGAAGGGAAUGGAUAAGUGGGACAAUCCUAAAGGGGAGGAUCAACUGAUGGAUGGAAGAGGAACUGAGAAACCUCAGAGGUCACAUGCUGGAUUUCAAAAAUGCCCAAAGCUCUCCCUCAAGCUAGCAAAUUACAUCCCAGGUGGAGCUCAUGAGUAUCAGCAUCUUGCCAAGGAGUGGGCUGAAGUUUAUGCCUGA
rnacentral:lncRNA from 1 species